rnacentral:lncRNA from 1 species
GUGAGACUCGAUGUUUACCGACACCGAAACAAUGGUGUUUACCGACACCAACAAUGAUGACCAGACAUUUACUGAUGACUGGAGAGAAAACUCGAUGUUUACAGACACCGAAACAAUGGUGUUUACCGACACCAAACAAUGAUGACCAGACAUUUACUGAUGACUGGAGAGAAAACUCGAUGUUUACAGACACCGAAACAAUG